GUAUAACAGAGCUCCACAGCAGUAAUACUCCCAGUAAUGUGUCUGAGUGUAUAACAGAGCUCCACAGCAAUAAUACUCCCAGUAAUGUCUUUAAACUGCAAUAAAUGGGGGUUGGCGUAGAAGGAGAGACACUAAUGGGGAGGCAGUAUAGGAGAGACACAGAGGGGAAAGCACCUCCAGUGCAAACCCAUAUCAGAGUCUCUGCGCCCCGCAAAUAUAUUACGUAGUAAAUGUUUUGGGGUUGUUUGCUAAGCAGUUGCAACCACUUUUUGCAACCACUUACACAUCAAUAGCGCUCCCAGUGCCCGGAAUGUCACCACAACCACUUACACAUCUAUAGGGCUCCCAGUGCCCGGGCUGUCACCACAAACACAUCUAUAGCGCUCCCAGUGCUCGGACUGUCACCACAACCAUUUACAGAUCUCUUGGGCUCCCAGUGCCAGGAAUUAGCUUAUUGGUCAAUAUUCCAGUCAUCAUUCAUGUAAAUUUCCCUCCCUCUCUUGUUUUGCCACUUUUCAGAAAUCCGAAGCACUUUGGAACUUCAGCAAUUCGGUUUGGCACUUCGGACAUUCGUAAGCAUCCGAACGUCCGAAUUACACGAAAUUUGUCCGAAUGUACAUUCUAAAUGAAACGAAUUGCACAUGUCUAACUCCAACCCCAAUUCCUGCAAUCGCCUCCUUUUAC